ACCCAAAGUGUUGAGUUCAGUUCAGGUUAUCUUCCCUGCUCUGCCAAUUAAGCUUUGAGACAUUGAAACUGGCUGGGGAAAAUGAUUGGAUAGAAAAUAUUUUCUAUUCAUUUAAUCCCCACCCUACAAAU
ensembl:snoRNA